rnacentral:rRNA from 1 species
GAAGCGGCAACAGCUCAAAUUUGAAAUCUGGCUCCUUCGGGGUCCGAAUUGUAAUUUGUAGAGAGUGCUUCGGGCGAGACCUCGGUCUAAGUCCAUUGGAACAUGGUGUCAUAGAGGGUGAGAAUCCCGUAUGCGACCGUGGCUCGAGCCCAUGUGAAGCCUCUUCGACGAGUCGAGUUGUUUGGGAAUGCAGCUCAAAAUGGGUGGUAAAUUUCAUCUAAAGCUAAAUACUGGCUGGAGACCGAUAGCGCACAAGUAGAGUGAUCGAAAGAUGAAAAGCACUUUGGAAAGAGAGUCAAACAGUACGUGAAAUUGUUGAAAGGGAAGCGCUUGCAACCAGACCUGCCCGUAGGCGAUCAGCCGCUGUUCUCAGCGGUGUACUCGCUCUGCGAUCAGGCCAGCAUCGGUUUCGGCGGUCGGAUAAAGACCUUGGGAAUGUAGCUUCCCUUCGGGGAAGUCUUAUAGCCCUCGGUGCAAUGCGGCCAGCCGGGACCGAGGACCGCGCUUCGGCUAGGAUGCUGGCGUAAUGGUUGUAAGCGACCCGUCUUGAAACACGGACCAAGGAGUCUAACAUCUAUGCGAGUGUUUGGGUGUCAAACCCAUACGCGGAAUGAAAGUGAACGGAGGUGAGAACCCUCAAGGGCGCAUCAUCGACCGAUCCAGAUGUCUUCGGAUGGAUUUGAGUAUGAGCAUAGCUGUUGGGACCCGAAAGAUGGUGAACUAUGCCUGAAUAGGGUGAAGCCAGAGGAAACUCUGGUGGAGGCUCGCAGCGGUUCUGACGUGCAAAUCGAUCGUCAAAUUUGGGUAU